GUCCUUCAGUUCAUCCCGUUGUCCGCCCGUCCCGUUUGUCCCCUGUGUCCAUCUGUCCGUCCCCAUGUGCCUCCAUCCAUCUCUGUGCCCGUCUGUCUGUCCAUCCUUCGGUCCGUCCGUCUGUCCCUCAAUCCAUCGCCGUGUCCUUCCAUCUGUCCCCACGUCUGUCUGUCCCCGUGUCCUUCCAUCCAUCCCCACGUCCGUCUGUCCUUCCACCCAUCCAUGUCCCCAUGUCUGUCCGUCCGUCUCCACAUCCAUCUGUCCGUCCACCCAUCCAUUCCCCACAUCUGUCCAUCCGUCCCCACGUCCGUCUGUCCAUCCCGGUCGCCUUCAGUCUGUCCCCGCGUCCGUCUGUCCUUCCAUCCCUCCCUCCCCGUGUCCGUCUGUCCUCAUGCCCCCCCCAUCACCUCCGUCCGUCCCCGUGUCCGUCUGUCUGUCCACCUCCAUGUCCACCCGUCCAUCCC
ensembl:lncRNA